UACGAAGGGAGCGAGCGUUGUUCGGAAUCACUGGGCUUAAAGCGUACGUAGGCGGAUUUACAAGUCAGAAGUGAAAUCCCAGGGCUUAACCCUGGAAUUGCUUUUGAAACUGUAAGUCUUGAAUCCGAUAGAGGUUGGCGGAACUCCGAGUGUAGAGGUGAAAUUCGCAGAUAUUCGGAAGAACACCAGUGGCGAAGGCGGCCAACUGGAUCGGUAUUGACGCUGAGGUACGAAAGCGUGGGUAGCAAACAGG
rnacentral:rRNA from 1 species